UAAAUGUUACAGGGGAACUUCCCGGAGAAU
rnacentral:piRNA from 1 species